GCCCUAGUAGCUUAAUUUAAAGCAUCAGUCUUGUAAUCUGAAGAUCGGAGGUUCAAUCCCUCCCUAGCGCC
rnacentral:tRNA from 1 species